CUCUGUGACUCCUACGGGAGGCAGCAGUGGGAAUAUUGCACAAUGGGGGAAACCCUGAUGCAGCCAUGCCGCGUGUGUGAAGAAGGCCUUCGGGUUGUAAAGCACUUUCAGUAGGGAGGAAGGUAGUGUAGUUAACACCUGAAACAUUAUUUGACGUUACCUACAGAAGAAGCACCGGCUAACUCCGUGCCAGCAGCCGCGGUAAUACGGAGGGUGCGAGCGUUAAUCGGAAUUACUGGGCGUAAAGCGCAUGCAGGCGGCCUGUUAAGUCAGAUGUGAAAGCCCGGGGCUUAACCUCGGAAUUGCAUUUGAAACUGGCAGGCUAGAGUCUUGUAGAGGGGGUAGAAUUUCAGGUGUAGCGGUGAAAUGCGUAGAGAUCUGAAGGAAUACCAGUGGCGAAGGCGGCCCCCUGGACAAAGACUGACGCUCAGAUGCGAAAGCGUGGGGAGCAAACAGGAUUAGAUACCCUGGUAG
rnacentral:rRNA from 1 species